UGGUUUUUCGGUUUACCACACAGGUUGUUGAUGAAGAUGGUUCAUUGAGAUACAGCAUCCGACAGCAUAAACAACUAUUGUCUACCGGUGAGAAUUAAACAUUUGGCAUACAUUACAGUGUAAUGAACAUUGUACACACUACAUUGUUAAUACUGUGAAAUAAAUAAUGAUCGGAAAUGUUUCAUUUCGAUUGACUGAAAAAGAAAACAGGAAAUCUAUGACACUGGUGCAUAGAUAGAGGAUGUGAACCGGACCUACGGAUCAACCACAAUAACACGGUUGAGUACUAUAACAAUGGUUUCUCCAUACGUAAGAAAAAUUCGGAAGAAAAUCAACAGACGCAGAUUUUUACAAGCUUCUAUCGGGUUGUUUUUAUUGUUUUAAAAUUUAUGCAUGUAAAAAGGGUUAAUAUUUGUGGAGUCGUGUUCGAAUUUUGAACUAAAUAUUAACUUUUUUUAUGUAAUUCUUUAAUUAAACUUUUAUAACAGUAAAUAAUAUACGCAAAAUAUCAUACAAAUCUGUAAACAUAAAAUAUAAAUAUAUUUAUAACGAUAAAAAGUAAAAACAUUAAGU